UACGUAGGGACCAAGCGUUGUUCGGAUUUACUGGGCGUAAAGGGCGCGUAGGCGGCUUAACAAGUCACUUGUGAAAUCUCCGGGCUUAACUCGGAACGGCCAAGUGAAACUGUCAAGCUAGAGUGCAGAAGGGGCAAUCGGAAUUCUUGGUGUAGCGGUGAAAUGCGUAGAUAUCAAGAGGAACACCUGAGGUGAAGACGGGUUGCUGGGCUGACACUGACGCUGAGGCACGAAAGCGUGGGGAGCAAACAGG
rnacentral:rRNA from 1 species